rnacentral:rRNA from 1 species
UACGGAGGGAGCUAGCGUUAUUCGGAAUUACUGGGCGUAAAGAGCUCGUAGGCGGUUUGUUGCGUCGGCUAGUCGAAAUCCCGAGGCUCAACCUCGGGUCUGCAGUCGAUACGAGCAAACUUAGAGUGAGUUGCAGGGGAGACUGGAAUUCCUGGUGUAGCGGGUGGGAUGCGCAGAUAUCAGGAGGAACACCAAUAGCGAAGGCAGCUUGCUGGGACGGUACUGACGCUAAGGCGCGAAAGCGUGGGGAGCGAACAGG